UUGAAGAUUAGUUACGACCCACUGACAUAGAUAAAAAGAAAUAAUUAAAAUCAAGAACCAAAAACACUAAAUAGAAGAAUAUCAUAAAACAAUGAGGCAAUAAAAGACUGAUAAUUAGGUGGGAAUCCUUUUGCAAAUGGCAUUAGGUGAUAUGGAUAGCAGACUAUCAACUGAAGGAUGUUGAGUAUUAAUCCAUCAUCUAGCAAAGUUCUCAGCAAAGUGGCAAUCAAUGUUGCCAUGUAUUGAUGAACCAUGGUCAGUGCACUUAAAGAUGUAUGAGGUGGGGUCAUAUAAUUCAAAAGGAAAGGUUAAGUUGAUUUUUAACCUAAUUUUAUAAACGUGAGCAAUGUGAAGCUGUUUAUUUUGGUAUGGUAUUUGAUGCAUCAUGUUGCCCUCAAAGAUUAAUUCUCCGAGCCUUUUGUGUUGGCCUAGAAGACAAAUUUCUGAAUUCUUGUGUGUGCUUGUAGGUGGAGAAAGAGGUGACAUAGAAUGUGUCCUUGGUAAGAAUCCCAUUACUCCCCAAGAAAAACAGAUUCCCUGAGCUUUUUUUUAUUUUGGCAAGAGAGAGAAAUCGUUUGGUGAAUUCUUGUAUGAUUAUCAAUAUAAAAACUCACUCACUCUCUGAUUGUCCUACAUCUCUCUCUCUAAGAAAAGGCCUGGCUUUGGAAUUGAAACCCAUGACUUACUUUGGUUUACUCUACAUGCAACAACUAACCUUAACCCCAAUUGUUGAAUAAAAUUAACAGGAAAUCGAUCAACGCAUGGGUAAAAAUGAUAUAAGAAGGAAGAGGUCUAGUAACAUUUAAAUGAACUCGAAAUGAAGGUGACAUGAACAAUAGGACACUAACCCUUUCUAUGCAAUUUUAUCAUUUGGCACAAGUUCCUUAGUAGAUGUUGGAAUCCCACAUCGAAAGAAUAUAAAGUAAAAGGGUAAUAAAUAAGUGGUUGGGUUGCAACAUUGACUUGAUUAGUUAUCUUGAUGUGUCAAGCAAUCUAAUAACUUAUAUAAGC
rnacentral:misc_RNA from 1 species